rnacentral:rRNA from 1 species
GAUGUUGGGUUAAGUCCCGCAACGAGCGCAACCCUCGCCUCGUGUUGCCAGCGGGUCAUGCCGGGAACUCACGAGGGACCGCCGGGGUUAACUCGGAGGAAGGUGGGGAUGACGUCAGAUCAUCAUGCCCCUUACGUCCAGGGCUUCACGCAUGCUACAAUGGCCGGUACAACGGGAUGCGACGCAGCGAUGCGGAGCGGAUCCCUGAAAACCGGUCUCAGUUCGGAUUGGAGUCUGCAACUCGACUCCAUGAAGGCGGAGUCGCUAGUAAUCGCGAAUCAGCAACGUCGCGGUGAAUGCGUUCCCGGGCCUUGUACACACCGCCCGUCAAGCCAUGAAAGCCGGGGGUACCUGAAG